UACAGAGGGUGCAAGCGUUAAUCGGAAUUACUGGGCGUAAAGGGUGCGUAGACGGUUGCGUAAGUCAGAUGUGAAAGCCCCGGGCUCAACCUGGGAAUGGCGGUUGAAACUGGCGAACUUGAAUCUGGCAGAGGGGGGUGGAAUUCCACGUGUAGCAGUGAAAUGCGUAGAGAUGUGGAGGAACGCCGAUGGCGAAGGCAGCCCCCUGGGCUGAGAUUGACGCUCAGGCACGAAAGCGUGGGGAGCAAACAGG
rnacentral:rRNA from 1 species